UACGUAGGGCGCAAGCGUUUGUCCGGAAUUAUUGGGCGUAAAGAGCUCGUAGGUGGUUUGUUACGUCUGCUGUGAAAACCUAGGGCUUAACCCUGGGCCUGCAGUGGAUACGGGCAGACUAGAGGUAGGUAGGGGAGAAUGGAAUUCCCGGUGUAGCGGUGAAAUGCGCAGAUAUCGGGAGGAACACCGGUGGCGAAGGCGGGUCUCUGG
rnacentral:rRNA from 1 species